CAGCAGCCGCGGUAAUUCCAGCUCCCAAUAGCGUAUAUUAAAGUGGUNNCCGUNAAAAAGCUNGUANUUGAACCUUGGACCUGGCUGAUCUGUCCUCCUANUCGAGCGCACGGAUUCGGUCGGGUCUUUCCUUNUGGGGANCCCUAUGCCCUUCACUGGGUGUAGUGGNAAANCAGGNCUUUUACCUNGAAAAAAUUAGAGUGUUCAAAGCAGGCCUUUGCUCGAAUACAUUAGCAUGGAAUAAUAGAAUAGGACAUCGGUUCUAUUUUGUUGGUUUNUAGGACCGCUGUAAUGAUUAAUAGGGAUAGUCGGGGGCGUCAGUAUUCAANUGUCAGAGGNGAAAUUCUUGGAUUUAUNGAAGACUAACUACUGCGAAAGCAUUCGCCAAGGAUGUUUUCAUUAAUCAGUGAACGAAAGUUAGGGGAUCGAAGACGAUCAGAUACCGUCGUAGUCUUAACCAUAAACUAUGCCGACUNNUUAUAAAGGCGGUGGUUUUUUUAUGCCCCG
rnacentral:rRNA from 1 species